rnacentral:rRNA from 1 species
UGAAAAGAACUUUGAAAAGAGAGUUAAACAGUACGUGAAAUUGUUGAAAGGGAAACGAUUGAAGUCAGUCAUACCAACGGGAAAUCAACCUUUUGAGCUUGGUCUCGUGGGUUUGAAGAGUUUCAAAGCCUUCGGAUUCGCGGGAUUGGGAUCACUUGGCGUACUUUUUCGUACGGUUAGUCAACAUCGGUUUUGAAUGUCAUAAAAUGACUGGA